GCAGGCUGCAACUCGCCUGCAUGAAGUCGGAAUUGCUAGUAAUCGCGGAUCAGCAUGCCGCGGUGAAUACGUUCCCGGGCCUUGUACACACCGCCCGUCACACCAUGAGAGCCGGUAACACCCGAAGUCAGAAGCCUAACCGCAAGGAGGGCGCUGCCGAAGGUGGGAUUGGUAAUUGGGGUGAAGUCGUAACAAGGUAGC
rnacentral:rRNA from 1 species